rnacentral:rRNA from 1 species
GACGAACGCUGGCGGCGUGCUUAACACAUGCAAGUCGAACGGAAAGGCCCCCAUCUUGGUGGGGGUGCUCGAGUGGCGAACGGGUGAGUAACACGUGGGUGAUCUGCCCUGUACUUCGGGAUAAGCUUGGGAAACUGGGUCUAAUACCGGAUAGGACCAUGGUUUAGUGUCUCAUGGUGGAAAGAUUAUUGUUUUGGUGCAGGAUGAGCUCGCGGCCUAUCAGCUUGUUGGUGGGGUAAUGGCCUACCAAGGCGUCGACGGGUAGCCGGCCUGAGAGGGUGGACGGCCACAUUGGGACUGAGAUACGGCCCAGACUCCUACGGGAGACAGCAGUGGGGAAUAUUGCACAAUGGGCGCAAGCCUGAUGCAGCGACGCCGCGUGGGGGAUGACGGCCUUCGGGUUGUAAACUCCUUUCGUUAGGGACGAAGCCGCACUUUUUUUGGGUGUGGUGACGGUACCUUUGUUAAGAAGCACCGGCUAACUACGUG